rnacentral:rRNA from 1 species
GAUGAACGCUGGCGGCGUGCCUAAUACAUGCAAGUCGAGCGAAUGGAUUAAGAGCUUGCUCUUAUGAAGUUAGCGGCGGACGGGUGAGUAACACGUGGGUAACCUGCCCAUAAGACUGGGAUAACUCCGGGAAACCGGGGCUAAUACCGGAUAACAUUUUGAACCGCAUGGUUCGAAAUUGAAAGGCGGCUUCGGCUGUCACUCAUGGAUGGACCCGCGUCGCAUUAGCUAGUUGGUGAGGUAACGGCUCACCAAGGCAACGAUGCGUAGCCGACCGGAGAGGGUGAUCGGCCACCCUGGGACUGAGACACGGCCCAGACUCCUACGGGAGGCAGCAGUAGGGAAUCUUCCGCAAUGGACGAAAGUCUGACGGAGCAACGCCGCGUGAGUGAUGAAGGCUUUCGGGUCGUAAAACUCUGUUGUUAGGGAAGAACAAGUGCUAGUUGAAUAAGCUGGCACCUUGACGGUACCUAACCAGAAAGCCACGGCUAACUACGUGCCAGCAGCCGCCGUAA